CAUGAUUUAGCCAGCACCCCCAAGCAAAGAGACCUUUAGUUUGAUACCCCGAAACCAGGUGAGCUACCCCGAGACAGCCUAUAUUAAUCUAGGGCUAACCCGUCUCUGUGGCAAAAGAGUGGGAAGAGCUCCGGGUAGAAGUGAAAGACCUACCGAACCUGGUGAUAGCUGGUUGACUGAGAAAUGGAUAGAAGUUCAGCCUCGUACACCCCAAACCAAGAAAUGUUAUCGCCAAGAUAUUUAGGGAAACGUACGAGAGUUAGUUGAAAGGGGUACAGCCCUUUUAACAAAGGAUACAACCUUUACAGGAGGAUAAAGAUCAUAAUGUAUAAGAUAUACUGUUCUAGUGGGCCUGAAAGCAGCCACCUAAACAGAAAGCGUUAAAGCUCGGACAGAAAGAAGUUUAUUAUAUUGAUAAAAAAUCUUAUUCCCCUAACUAUAUCAGACCAACCCAUGCCCACAUGGAAGAGAUUAUGCUAAAAUGAGUAAUAAGAAGACCCGCUCUUCUCCCAGCACAAGUGUAAACCAGAUCGGACCAACCACUGGAGCUUAACGAACCCAACCCAAGAGGGUAGUGUGAUUAAGAGAAAACACGAGAAGACCUCACAUUAAUUGAUCGUUAACCCCACACUGGAGUGCUAUUUUAAGGGAAAGACUAAAAGAAGGGGAAGGAACUCGGCAAACACAAGCCUCGCCUGUUUACCAAAAACAUCGCCUCCUGCAACUAGACUGAGUAUAGGAGGUCCAGCCUGCCCAGUGACUACGGGUUCAACGGCCGCGGUAUCUUGACCGUGCAAAGGUAGCGCAAUCACUUGUCUCUUAAAUAGAGACCUGUAUGAAUGGCUAGACGAGGGCUUAACUGUCUCCCCCCUCCAGUCAGUGAAAUUGAUCUAUCCGUGCAGAAGCGGGUAUAAAUAUACAAGACGAGAAGACCCUUUGGAGCUUAAGGUACAAAGUACAACCACGUUAAACAACUCUAUAAGAAGCAAGAACUUAGUGGUAAUGAAUCUUUACCUUCGGUUGGGGCGACCGCGGAGGAAAAACAAGCCUCCGAGUGGACUGGGCCUAACCCCUGAAGCCAAUAGAGACAUCUAUGGGCCGCAGAACAUCUGACCAAAAAUGAUCCGGCUAAAAAGCCGACCAACGAACCAAGUUACCCAAGGGAUAACAGCGCAAUCCCCUCCCAGAGCCCAUAUCUACGAGGGGGUUUACGACCUCGAUGUUGGAUCAGGACAUCCUAAUGGUGCAGCCGCUAUUAAGGGUUCGUUUGUUCAACGAUUAAAGUCC
rnacentral:rRNA from 1 species